rnacentral:rRNA from 1 species
CGUAAAGCGUCCGCAGGCGGCCCUUCAAGUCUGCUGUUAAAAAGUGGAGCUUAACUCCAUCAUGGCAGUGGAAACUGUUGGGCUUGAGUGUGGUAGGGGCAGAGGGAAUUCCCGGUGUAGCGGUGAAAUGCGUAGAUAUCGGGAAGAACACCAGUGGCGAAGGCGCUCUGCUGGGCCAUCACUGACGCUCAUGGACGAAAGCCAGGGGAGCGAAAGGGAUUAGAUACCCCUGUAGUCCUGGCCGUAAACGAUGAACACUAGGUGUCGGGGGAAUCGACCCCCUCGGUGUCGUAGCCAACGCGUUAAGUGUUCCGCCUGGGGAGUACGCACGCAAGUGUGAAACUCAAAGGAAUUGACGGGGGCCCGCACAAGCGGUGGAGUAUGUGGUUUAAUUCGAUGCAACGCGAAGAACCUUACCAGGGUUUGACAUCCUGCGAAUCUCUUGGAAACGAGAGAGUGCCUUCGGGAACGCAGUGACAGGUGGUGCAUGGCUGUCGUCAGCUCGUGUCGUGAGAUGUUGGGUUAAGUCCCGCAACGAGCGCAACCCACGUCUUUAGUUGCCAGCAUUUAGUUGGGCACUCUAGAGAGACCGCCGGUGAUAAACCGGAGGAAGGUGUGGAUGACGUCAAGUCAUCAUGCCCCUUACAUCCUGGGCUACACACGUACUACAAUGCUACGGACAAAGGGCAGCAAGUUCGCGAGGACAAGCAAAUCCCAUAAACCGUGGCUCAGUUCAGAUCGUAGGCUGCAACU